UAGGGAAUCUUCCACAAUGGACGCAAGUCUGAUGGAGCAACGCCGCGUGAGUGAAGAAGGUUUUCGGACCGUAAAGCUCUGUUGUUGGUGAAGAAGGAUAGAGGUAGUAACUGGCCUUUAUUUGACGGUAAUCAACCAGAAAGUCACGGCUAACUACGUGCCAGCAGCCGCGGUAAUACGUAGGUGGCAAGCGUUGUCCGGAUUUAUUGGGCGUAAAGCGAGCGCAGGCGGAAGAAUAAGUCUGAUGUGAAAGCCCUCGGCUUAACCGAGGAAUUGCAUCGGAAACUGUUUUCUUGAGUGCAGAAGAGGAGAGUAGAACUCCAUGUGUAGCGGUGAAAUGCGUAGAUAUAUGGAAGAACACCAGUGGCGAAGGCGGCUGUCUGGUCUGCAACUGACGCUGAGGCUCGAAAGCAUGGGUAGCGAACAGGAUUAGAUACCCUGGUAGUCCAUGCCGUAAACGAUGAGUGCUAAGUGUUGGAGGGUUUUCCGCCCUUCAGUGCUGCAGCUAACGCAUUAAGCACUC
rnacentral:rRNA from 1 species